rnacentral:rRNA from 1 species
UUCCGGUUGAUCCUGCCUGACCUGACUGCUAUCGGGAUUGAUACUAAGCCAUGCGAGUCAUUGUAGCAAUACAAGGCAGACGGCUCAGUAACGCGUAGUCAACCUACCCUAUGGACGGGAAUAACCUCGGGAAACUGAGUAUAAUGCCCGAUAGAACACUAUACCUGGAAUGGUUUGUGUUCCAAAUGAUUUAUCGCCGUAGGAUGGGACUGCGGCCUAUCAGUUUGUUGGUGAGGUAAUGGCCCACCAAGACUAUUACAGGUACGGGCUCUGAGAGGAGUGGCCCGGAGAUGGGUACUGAGACACGGACCCAGGCCCUAUGGGGCGCAGCAGGCGAGAAAACUUUGCAAUGUGCGAAAGCACGACAAGGUUAAUCCGAGUGGUUUGUGCUAAACGAACCUUUUGUCAGUCCUAGAAACACUAACGAAUAAGGGGUGGGCAAGUUCUGGUGUCGGCCGCCGCGGUAAAACCAGCACCUCAAGUGGUCAGGAUGAUUAUUGGGCCUAAAGCAUCCGUAGCCGGCUCUGUAAGUUUUCGGUUAAAUCUGUACGCUUAACGUACAGGCUGCCGGGAAUACUGCAGAGCUAGGGAGUGGGAGAGGUAGACGGUACUCGGUAGGAAGGGGUAAAAUCCUUUGAUCUAUUGAUGACCACCUGUGGCGAAGGCGGUCUACCAGAACACGUCCGACGGUGAGGGAUGAAAGCUGGGGGAGCAAACCGGAUUAGAUACCCGGGUAGUCCCAGCUGUAAACUAUGCAAACUCAGUGAUGCAUUGGCUUGUGGCCAAUGCAGUGCUGCAGGGAAGCCGUUAAGUUUGCCGCCUGGGAAGUACGUACGCAAGUAUGAAACUUAAAGGAAUUGGCGGGGGAGCACCACAAGGGGUGAAGCCUGCGGUUCAAUUGGAGUCAACGCCGGG